AAAAUUUUGUAAAGUUUUUCUCACUUCUUCGUAAGGUAUAUAGGUACUUAUAGUUAUUAUGCAUUUAUUAUAAGUAUGUUUCCAAACUUUUAAACAUCACAGAUUUUAAAUACUACAUCGCAAUGAAAUGAAUUUGAACAAUUUAUCACUUGAUCAAACAACACUGAUUGGUUUUAGCCUACAAUAAAACCUUGUUAAAAAGCCAAACCAUCUAAAACUUUUUCCUAUCCCAUCCUCACUGGCCAUUGACCGCCGUCAAGAAAUUCAACCUUUCAAGUAUCUUCUGUGACAUAAAAACAAAAGAAGUUCGGCCAUCACGCCCGCCGGGCAGCAAACCCCAAAUUUUCAAACUAAAUAAAAACCGGAAAAUGAACCAGGACAGGUAAACAGCAGCAAGAUGAAUCGCUCGGGGCUCCUGCUCUGGUGGCUACUUUUCAUUCUUUUCGAAAUAGCGGCCGCGGCGUGGGCCUGCUGCGACUGCUGCUACCCGCCCUGCCGUCGCCGUCCGCGCGGCUGCUGCAGCUAGGUAUCGCUCCGUCAUAAGCCAAGCGUACGGUUGCAGCACGUGCUGCAAGAAGAAGGCCUGUAGCCCGCCUCGCUGCCCCGGCGGCUGCAAACCCAAGUACUGGUGACCGUCUCUCCACUCAUGUUCGCAUGGGUCCUGGCGAGGCUGGCGCUGCUGCUGUGGCUCGCGCUGGCCACGGCGGCGUGCGGCAAGAAGACCGUGCUCGUGUGCCGUCCCGCGCCCGGCCAGCCGCCCGCCUGCAGGCCAGACCAGCCGCCUGUCAGCCAACCGCCUCCGUCCUCCUGCUGCAGGCGUUAGUCAUCUCAAGUCGUCUGUGACGUCACGAUCAUGUGUGAGGGCGGCACGACGGGCCGCGCGCCUGCAGGCAAGAUCUCGACACCCGCCCCCCCGCUAAGUAAAUGAUUCACAAAGUCAAUAAACCGUUCUGUUGAAUAGUG